rnacentral:rRNA from 1 species
UACAGAGGGGGCAAGCGUUGUUCGGAAUUACUGGGCGUAAAGGGCGCGUAGGCGGCCUGUUAAGUCGAACGUGAAAUCCCCGGGCUCAACCCGGGAACUGCGUCCGAUACUGGCAGGCUUGAAUCCGGGAGAGGGAUGCGGAAUUCCAGGUGUAGCGGUGAAAUGCGUAGAUAUCAGGAGGAACACCGGUGGCGAAGGCGGUUCUCUGGGCAUGUCCUGACGC